UCCCGGGUAAAGUCGGUCUGUCCUGAUUGCACUACUUGCUAAUUGAUGACGUCUAGAAGCCAUAGCUGCUUCCCUCAACGUGGCAGCCCUCACAAAUAAACUGAUACCAGGAAUUAACAUACAGUAGAUGGUGAUGGUGGUGGUGGCAAGGGUGCCUUCACAAGGUGCCAUGUCACAAUCUCAGUGUGGAGCCAAAGGCUGCUAUUGCAAGUCAGAUGGGGGACGAUCGAUGUAAGGCAUCAGAAAGGUGGUGUACGUACAAAGGCUGGAGCUGCUGGAGACAGUGUUGCACUUAGAUACUUGAUUUACUGCCGAAGGUACCAUCAGAGCACCACCCUACCCCUGCAGGACCAGAAGAGGACGGACAGGGGGCCAACAUUUUUUAACACUCUGACCAUGGACUAUUUAAACCAUUGAGGUAACACAGACGUCUGAUCCCACUUGGCUAAAACAGAAGACUGAGGAGUAGUUUCUUUCCUCAUGCCAUUCGCAUCCUGAGCACACAUACUACAUUACAUGGACUUGCCAUACUGCACUUACACACUGCACUAUUUACCCCCUGACUCAUUCCGUGUCAAAUCAGACAAGGUUAUGCUGCACCGUCUCAGGCCUGUACAAUAUUUUUUUGUUCAAUCCUAUGUCUUCAUAUUAUAAUGUUUGUAUGGCCUGCUCAAUGAUUUUCAUUGAAAAGUGUUCAUUAAAAGUUCAAAUGGUA